CCUACGGGAGGCAGCAGUGGGGAAUAUUGGACAAUGGGGGCAACCCUGAUCCAGCCAUGCCGCGUGUGUGAAGAAGGCCCUCGGGUUGUAAAGCACUUUCAGUGAGGAAGAACGCCUGGUGGUUAAUACCCAUCAGGAAAGACAUCACUCACAGAAGAAGCACCGGCUAACUCCGUGCCAGCAGCCGCGGUAAUACGGAGGGUGCGAGCGUUAAUCGGAAUUACUGGGCGUAAAGCGCGCGUAGGUGGCUUGAUAAGCCGGUUGUGAAAGCCCCGGGCUCAACCUGGGAACGGCAUCCGGAACUGUCUAGCUAGAGUGCAGGAGAGGAAGGUAGAAUUCCCGGUGUAGCGGUGAAAUGCGUAGAGAUCUGGAGGAAUACCAGUGGCGAAGGCGGCCUUCUGGACUGACACUGACACUGAGGUGCGAAAGCGUGGGUAGCAAACAGGAUUAGAUACCCUAGUAGUC
rnacentral:rRNA from 1 species